rnacentral:rRNA from 1 species
UUAGUGGAAGCGUCUGGAAAGGCGCGCGAUACAGGGUGACAGCCCCGUACACAAAAAUGCACAUGCUGUGAGCUCGAUGAGUAGGGCGGGACACGUGGUAUCCUGUCUGAAUAUGGGGGGACCAUCCUCCAAGGCUAAAUACUCCUGACUGACCGAUAGUGAACCAGUACCGUGAGGGAAAGGCGAAAAGAACCCCGGCGAGGGGAGUGAAAAAGAACCUGAAACCGUGUACGUACAAGCAGUGGGAGCCUCUUAAUGGGGUGACUGCGUACCUUUUGUAUAAUGGGUCAGCGACUUAUAUUCUGUAGCAAGGUUAACCGAAUAGGGGAGCCGAAGGGAAACCGAGUCUUAACUGGGCGUUAAGUUGCAGGGUAUAGACCCGAAACCCGGUGAUCUAGCCAUGGGCAGGUUGAAGGUUGGGUAACACUAACUGGAGGACCGAACCGACUAAUGUUGAAAAAUUAGCGGAUGACUUGUGGCUGGGGGUGAAAGGCCAAUCAAACCGGGAGAUAGCUGGUUCUCCCCGAAAGCUAUUUAGGUAGCGCCUCGUGAAUUCAUCUCCGGGGGUAGAGCACUGUUUCGGCAAGGGGGUCAUCCCGACUUACCAACCCGAUGCAAACUGCGAAUACCGGAGAAUGUUAUCACGGGAGACACACGGCGGGUGCUAACGUCCGUCGUGAAGAGGGAAACAACCCAGACCGCCAGCUAAGGUCCCAAAGUCAUGGUUAAGUGGGAAACGAUGUGGGAAGGCCCAGACAGCCAGGAUGUUGGCUUAGAAGCAGCCAUCAUUUAAAGAAAGCGUAAUAGCUCACUGGUCGAGUCGGCCUGCGCGGAAGAUGUAACGGGGCUAAACCAUGCACCGAAGCUGCGGCAGCGACACUAUGUGUUGUUGGGUAGGGGAGCGUUCUGUAAGCCUGUGAAGGUGGCCUGUGAGGGUUGCUGGAGGUAUCAGAAGUGCGAAUGCUGACAUAAGUAACGAUAAAGCGGGUGAAAAGCCCGCUCGCCGGAAGACCAAGGGUUCCUGUCCAACGUUAAUCGGGGCAGGGUGAGUCGACCCCUAAGGCGAGGCCGAAAGGCGUAGUCGAUGGGAAACAGGUUAAUAUUCCUGUACUUGGUGUUACUGCGAAGGGGGGACGGAGAAGGCUAUGUUGGCCGGGCGACGGUUGUCCCGGUUUAAGCGUGUAGGCUGGUUUUCCAGGCAAAUCCGGAAAACCAAGGCUGAGGCGUGAUGACGAGGCACUACGGUGCUGAAGUGACAAAUGCCCUGCUUCCAGGAAAAGCCUCUAAGCAUCAGGUAACAUCAAAUCGUACCCCAAACCGACACAGGUGGUCAGGUAGAGAAUACCAAGGCGCUUGAGAGAACUCGGGUGAAGGAACUAGGCAAAAUGGUGCCGUAACUUCGGGAGAAGGCACGCUGAUAUGUAGGUGAAGCGACUUGCUCGUGGAGCUGAAAUCAGUCGAAGAUACCAGCUGGCUGCAACUGUUUAUUAAAAACACAGCACUGUGCAAACACGAAAGUGGACGUAUACGGUGUGACGCCUGCCCGGUGCCGGAAGGUUAAUUGAUGGGGUUAGCGGUAACGCGAAGCUCUUGAUCGAAGCCCCGGUAAACGGCGGCCGUAACUAUAACGGUCCUAAGGUAGCGAAAUUCCUUGUCGGGUAAGUUCCGACCUGCACGAAUGGCGUAAUGAUGGCCAGGCUGUCUCCACCCGAGACUCAGUGAAAUUGAACUCGCUGUGAAGAUGCAGUGUACCCGCGGCAAGACGGAAAGACCCCGUGAACCUUUACUAUAGCUUGACACUGAACAUUGAGCCUUGAUGUGUAGGAUAGGUGGGAGGCUUUGAAGUGUGGACGCCAGUCUGCAUGGAGCCGACCUUGAAAUACCACCCUUUAAUGUUUGAUGUUCUAACGUUGGCCCGUAAUCCGGGUUGCGGACAGUGUCUGGUGGGUAGUUUGACUGGGGCGGUCUCCUCCUAAAGAGUAACGGAGGAGCACGAAGGUUGGCUAAUCCUGGUCGGACAUCAGGAGGUUAGUGCAAUGGCAUAAGCCAGCUUGACUGCGAGCGUGACGGCGCGAGCAGGUGCGAAAGCAGGUCAUAGUGAUCCGGUGGUUCUGAAUGGAAGGGCCAUCGCUCAACGGAUAAAAGGUACUCCGGGGAUAACAGGCUGAUACCGCCCAAGAGUUCAUAUCGACGGCGGUGUUUGGCACCUCGAUGUCGGCUCAUCACAUCCUGGGGCUGAAGUAGGUCCCAAGGGUAUGGCUGUUCGCCAUUUAAAGUGGUACGCGAGCUGGGUUUAGAACGUCGUGAGACAGUUCGGUCCCUAUCUGCCGUGGGCGCUGGAGAACUGAGGGGGGCUGCUCCUAGUACGAGAGGACCGGAGUGGACGCAUCACUGGUGUUCGGGUUGUCAUGCCAAUGGCACUGCCCGGUAGCUAAAUGCGGAAGAGAUAAGUGCUGAAAGCAUCUAAGCACGAAACUUGCCCCGAGAUGAGUUCUCCCUGAGACUUAGAGUCUCCUGAAGGAACGUUGAAGACGACGACGUUGAUAGGCCGGGUGUGUAAGCGCAGCGAUGCGUUGAGCUAACCGGUACUAAUGAACCGUGAGGCUUAACCUU